rnacentral:lncRNA from 1 species
UCACACGUCUUCUGGGUCUGUGUGCAGGCAGGGUACUCAGAUCGUCUCAUUGCUUUCCUGUCCUUCGGCAGGUGCAUGAGUCUACCUGGGGAGAGCCCUGAUCUGCACUUUCUGCAUCCUGACAAAGAGAAAUUAUGCUUCAGUGACAAUCCCCGGUUGCCUACGCGAUGCAAACCGGUCAAGCGUUGAGAGCCCUGCAGUGGCUCUGCACCGAAGGGUAUAAAUCCUUUCGUCCCGAGUUGGCACCUCAUCGCUUGCUUCUCUUUCAGGGAUUUCCUCCAUUCUUGGAGAAGACAUACCUUUCACACCAACCCUUUCAUCACCUAACUAUGGUUGAGACCUCCUUCCAAUCACAUACCUCACCCCCGUCAUGGAUUACGAAGGAUACCAAUUCAUAAACCUCCUAAGUGUAAUGCCACACGUUGGAAAUGUGUAGUAUUUGACAGGAGCCGAAAUGAAACCGACUUGUUGCUCAGAUAAUUACAGCCUCCUCAGCCCCAGGCUUGAGACCAGCCUCUAUUACUCAGAAGAAUUUGUGCAACUCCGUGCUUCUCUAUCUUCAAGCAUCAGCAUGUUCGACUCUUGGUUUCAAUCCAGAACCUGCCCUGUUUUUAUAGAACAAAACUCCAGCUUCGAUCUGAAAAUGAAGAUCCCAGGUCCGCACUUCAGUACAGUCCAAAGGCAAAGUUUCUGGUGGGAUACUUCCGUUACCAGCCCGUCACCUUGGUAAAGGCUUUCAGACACAUCAAACCAAAGGAAAGAGGCUCUUUCUUUUUCUUGUUGUUCCAGAUCAGAUAACGUUGCCUGAUUAGUUCCUCCACCAUGAAUUCAUACCGCAGGUACCCACAUGCCAGCCCUUUGCUGAAAGGCCAUCAGCCAAAUUGCUUCCUGCAUAAUCAUUCAUAUUUUGCCUCAUGCUUUCCCUUCUCCACCUCUAUUUCCGGCUCCUCCCCCUGAAAUAGCAAAAUGCUUGCAAAGAAAAUGUGUCAACAGGUGAAAUUUAUAGGAGUUUCCUGGCCCACACAGAAACACGAACCACAGGCGUCCCCAAAGGGGAGAUUUUCUUACCCAGACACUUACUCUCUUGAAUAUGCCCUGAUUCAUUCAUAUAUGAGUUCUCUAGAGAAACCGGUUAUCUUUUUUAGGGAAUCACAGUAUGGAGCUUCUGUUUGGAAAGAGUGGCUUUGAUGAAGGCCAGUUGGGAUUAUUUAGUUGCAGUUACAGAAAAGCCCAACCCAAACUAGCUUAGAAAGGGAAAUUAGUGAUUCAGAAGCUGAAAACGCUGACUUCAGGUUUAACUCUAUUCGGGACUCAAGCAGAUCGGUAGCACCUGCUUAGUUUUUUAAUCUCCAUUUCUUUGUUCUGGCUUCCUUUAGGUUGACUUCAGCUUUUAGUUUUAUGGGUACCAGAAAGGUACCUACCUGCUAGCCUGAUUCAUUCUCCUAUGUUUUAGGUCAGAGGUUAUGAGAGUCUCUUUCCCCAAAGAUUCAGGGAAAAUGUCACUGCAUCUCAUUUGGCUCUGACUAGGCCAUGCACGAUCCAUGAAAGUCAGUGGACAGGAAAUGAGACAUGCUGAUGGUUUAGGCCUGGGUCACAAGCUCCGCCCCUGAGGCUGGGUGUGGAGUCAGCUUUAAUGGGACCGCGUAAGAAUCAGGUAGGGACCUGGAGGUCUCUGGCAAUGACCACUGCGGUCAGUUCUGCCUUCUAAGAAAUGACGCCUUCGUGUCACGUGAUGUUUUGUUUCCACUGAACAAGCCAGCCGCCUACCUUGAAAAUAGCCCGCAUCUUCUCAUGUAAAAUAGGAAUCCACCUCCAAAGCCAGGCUGACUUAGGGAAAAGGUUACUUUCUGAUCUAACUUCCAGCAGUGAGGCUAGUUUGCCAAAGUUUUGGUGUAAGUGGGUUGGUAUAGAAAACUUACUCAAAAGUAUCUCAAAGUCUAUAGCAGGAGCACUUAACAUUCUUUCUUUUUUUUUUUUUUUAAGUUUAUUUUAAGAGACAGAGCAGACGAGGGGCGGAGAGAGAGACAGGGAGAGAGAGAAUCCCAGGCAGGCUCUGUGCUGUCAACGUGGAGCCUGAUGCGGUGCUGGAACUCACAAACCGUGAGAUCGUGACCCGAGCCGAAACCAGGAGUCGGACCCUUAACCAACUGAGCCACCCAGACUCCCCGGACCACUUUACGUUCUUUAAAGCAUGAAGAUCCUCCACUGGUUUGAAGCCUACUACAAUAAGCCUUUCUUACUGGUCUCCUUGGGUUUUUGUUUUUGUUGCCUAAGACGACUAUGAUAUACUUAGACCUCUGUAGCCUGAUCAGGCUGCCCCAGGAGGGAGCGGACGAGGUUAUGUGCCUUUCCAAAUAAACGUUUGGGAUUAGGAUUUUAAUCA